UACGGGGGGAGCAAGCGUUGUUCGGAUUUACUGGGCGUAAAGGGCGCGUAGGCGGUAAGAUGUGUGUGAUGUGAAAGCCCCGGGCUUAACCUGGGAAGUGCAUCGCAAACUAUCUAACUGGAGUAUAUGAGAGGGUGGCGGAAUUUCCGGUGUAGCGGUGAAAUGCGUAGAGAUCGGAAGGAACGUCAAUGGCAAAGGCAGCCACCUGGCAUAAUACUGACGCUGAGGCGCGAAAGCGUGGGGAGCGAACAGG
rnacentral:rRNA from 1 species